rnacentral:lncRNA from 1 species
GGCUUGAGCAAAGUAUAGUCUAAUGAAGGAUGAGUAGGUAAAUAAAGAAUUGGCGCCAUUACUCUAAGAGAGAUGAGUAUGAAAGGCGAAAGGAAGAAGACGACAGAAGAAAGAGAGAGACGAGAAAGAGGUUUCAUUGGAGGAGACGAGAAAGGGAUAAAAGAGAUAAAAGAGACAAAAAGAAUGAGAAGCUUGGGGAAGAAGAAAAGGCCGUUGUAUCGAACCGUCA